CCUACGGGUGGCAGCAGUGGGGGAUAUUGCACAAUGGGGGGAACCCUGAUGCAGCGACGCCGCGUGGGUGAAGAAGCGCCUCGGCGCGUAAAGCCCUGUCAGCAGGGAAGAAAAUGACGGUACCUGAAGAAGAAGCCCCGGCUAACUACGUGCCAGCAGCCGCGGUAAUACGGGGGAUGCAAGCGUUAUCCGGAUUUAUUGGGUUUAAAGGGUGCGUAGGCUGUGAGGUAAGUCAGCGGUGAAAUGCCCCCGCUCAACGGGGUGAAGUGCCAUUGAUACUGCCUUGCUGGAAUGCGGAUGCCGUGGGAGGAAUGUGUGGUGUAGCGGUGAAAUGCAUAGAUAUCACGCAGAACUCCGAUUGCGAAGGCAGCAUACCGGCGCCCAACUGACGCUGAAGCACGAAAGCGUGGGUAUCGAACAGGAUUAGAUACCCGAGUAGUC
rnacentral:rRNA from 1 species